rnacentral:tRNA from 1 species
GGGUCUAUAGUUUAAAAAGAAUAAGGGUUUUGUAAACUUUAGGUGUUAGAAAAGCUGGGCUCU